UACGGGGGGAGCAAGCGUUGUUCGGAUUUACUGGGCGUAAAGGGCGCGUAGGCGGCCACCGCAAGUCGGUUGUGAAAUCUCUGGGCUUAACCCAGAAAGGUCAAUCGAUACUGCGGGGCUAGAGUGCAGAAGGGGCAACUGGAAUUCUCGGUGUAGCGGUGAAAUGCGUAGAUAUCAAGAGGAACACCUGCGGCGAAGGCGGGUUGCUGGGCCGACACUGACGCUGAGGCGCGAAAGCCAGGGGAGCGAACGGG
rnacentral:rRNA from 1 species